UAAGAUCAUCAAUUAGUGAAGGUUAUUUGAAGUGAAGGAGAGUAAUCUACAUUCAUAUUUUGCAAAGAAUGAGUUAUUUGUCUUUGUUUUGGUUUUUUUUUUUGUUUAUUUGUUGAAAAAAUUUAUGUUUUAUGCUAGGUUGUUUAUGAAAUUUAUGGUAUGAAGCAUUGGUUUGCCCGAUCUAUAGAUUAUUGUCUUUCUUCUAAUUUUGAACUAUUUUUGAAAUUAUUUUUAUUAAAAUAAAUAAUUAAUUGGAUAUAACAUCAAAAAAACUUUUAGCUUAAUUAAUGUUUGCUCAAUAUAAUCAAAGUCAAGAUAAUCAAGAAACUCUUAGACACUCAUUUUGGAGGUAAUAAGGUUAGUUCUUUAAUAUCUAUAAUUCUACAUAGUUACUUUAGUUUUAAGUUGAUAACACUAAUGGUGUCAAAAAAUGAU
rnacentral:misc_RNA from 1 species